GUAACGCGGCAUUCCAGCUCUAACUCGCGGUGGUGUUGGACGUGGAUCCCUUUGUUUUCUCUUUCCUUGACAAGUUCAUUCACCUGCAGCAUGAAAGCUUUGACGGCACUCCUGACCGUGGCGCUCCUCGGGGCGAGCGUGGCCAUGCCCUUCCAGCCGCAGCCGAGGCAGUUCAUGUACCAAGACGGGUCCCCUUCCGUCAAGCUGUACCCUGUGUACCCCGAGCGAUCGCCGGCCAUGGGGGAAG